GUUGCCAGUAAUACUGCUGCUUGAUUCUAAUAAGUUAGGUCUUCAAAGUAAAGAAAGCCAACUUAUGGACUUAAAAUGAGGACAAAGUCCCUAACUUUAGCUCACCACUCCCACCCAUUUAUCCCACCGUCUACCUACCAUGGAUGCAACAUUUCUGACACGACAAAAGACCUGAAUCACUUGCCAAAAAAAGGACGUGGUUUCGCUUGUACUACUGGAGAACUGCCUUUUGGGACCGGGUGUGACAGGGCUACUCUUGGAUCCAUCAGCUAAGGCCUGCUCCUCAUGCUAGGAAACAGUAACCAGGCACCAACUCUUUAAGGAUCAAGAGUGCAGGUUCGCUUAAAAAUAGAGUGGGUUUCCAAGGCGAUCCAGGAAGAUUAACCUCGGAGAAAACUGUCCCGCGACACCGAGGGCGGGAGGCAGAUACCGGGAUCAGUGACGGGGACAGCUGAACACGUUCCCAGAACAGAACCGAAUUUUAAAAAACGAGGCGUAAACCGAUGGGUAGCGUGAAACCGGUAAAGAGGAGUUUAAAGACGACGCAGAAAGGAGUCAACCUACCCAACGCACUUUGCUGCAGGUCAUAGCUCUUUUAUCAAAGCCUGGAAAGAAAGGUGGCGAUCCCAGCCAAUAAGAAGCGAACACAAGCUGCACCUCCAGCGGCCUCAGGAGCCGUAGGCGGAGAAAGGAGGAAGCGCGCGUGCGCCGGGAGAGCUUUCAGUCGGGCGCGCGCAAGGGUCCGGGCCGAGGAAAUGGGGGAAGGGUUGAAGAGGGAGAUGUGCGCACGCGCAGGGAAAGGCCGCGCGGUCUCUGGGUAUCGAGCCAGGUUCGCAACCGCGCGCGCGCGCGCACCGUUCUCGCUACUCACCCCACCCCCCACCUUUUCGACCUGUAGUGCCUCGAAAACCUGAGAAGAUCUGACGGGGAAACGCAUAAAUAACGGCGAAACGUCUCCUGGGUCCUCCUGUAGCCGCCAACCCGUCACCACCCACAAAAGAUUCAACAAUAACUCACUCGUCCUCGGUAUUUACUGCCCUUUGAGUGAUUUGAAUGCAGCAUGAGGCCUACCUGAAACGCCGAAAGCACGGUUCCCGGGAAUUAUCUCCGUUGUAACUACACAGCGGCCAUUUCCCGACUCAAGCACGGGAGGAAAACCAUAGAGCUUUCAGAUGAUUACAUCCCUGGUUGUCACCUUGAAUGUAGCCUUUUGAAAGACUCUGAGCCAGAACGACUCAGCUAAGCUGCUCCUGACCCACAGUAACCAGGAGAUAAUGAGCCUUGUGAGGAUUCGAUGAGAAUUGCACAUGAACAGCUUAAGAGUCUGGCUUGUGGUAAACACAACAUUUGACAUUUUUCUUUUUAAUAUGAGAUUUAUAUGUGAGAGGACUAAGCUUUGUUUCUCAUUCCCUUUCCAAUGUUCAGAUUAUUUACCCCAUUGGCAAGGCAAAGAAGGGGUAGGUAGGAACCUCAAUCAAGAUUCAUUAAAGGGGUGCCUGGGUGGCUCGGUCAGUUAAGCAGUCAACUCUUAAUUUCAGCUCAGGUCAUGAUCUCAUGGUUCAUGAGUUCUAACUCCACAUGGAGCUGUGAGUGCAGAGCCUGCUUUGGAUCCUCUGCCCCUCCCCCAUUCAUGCCCUCUCUCUCUCUUUCUCUCUCAAAAAUAAACACACAUUUUUAAAAAAGGAUUCAUUAAAGUCUUCUUUGUAGGCUUAGGAGGACACAAGAAUUUAAAAAAAAAGAGAAACCAAAAAGAAAAAUGAAGACAGGAAUGAGUUUUCCUUAGUUUUUUCUUUUUUCAAGAUAAUCCAAUUUAACUUGUAUUUAACAUUAUCACUAGGUUUUGCCCUUGAAUAUUAAAGUUCUUAGUUAUUAAUUUUUCACUCAAGAAUUUUUUAUAUGCUGAGUAUGGGCCCUUUGAGGGACAGCAGUUUAUAUUUUGACCUAAAUUUCCUCUCUUCCCCCCACCAACCUAUCUUAAGAAGCAAGGAAAAAAGUAGUGCCAGAAUGAUCAAACUAGAAGCCCCAUUUGAUGCGUGAUGGGCAUCGAGGAAGGCAUUUGUUGGGAUGGGCACUGGGUGUUGUAUGUAAACGAUGAAACACGGGAAUCUACCCCCAAAACCAAAAGCACACUGUACACAAUGUAGGUUAGCCAAUUUGACAAUGAAUUAUAUUUAAAAAAAAAAAAAAAAAAAAGACACCCCAUUUGCAACAAAACAUGAGGCAGUAUUUGGUGGCACAUUUGAUCACAUUUUAUCUGAAGAUGAUUUCUGUUUUCAAGAAUCCCUGUUGUUUGCAGGGAAUGGAAUAAAUCUUUUUUGCUAAAAUGGCAGCAUAAAUGUUUUAAUUAAGCAAGACCCAGAAGGGGUGUGGAAUGUCUAAUUAGACCCCAUGGGUACCAAUGAUGUCCGCCGAUUGAGGGAUGGUUCCCCAGCCGUGAGAGAAAAGCUUUGCCGAGAGCAGUGGCGCCAGCCAUUCCCCACGGUCGGUCGCCAUAGUGGUUUCUUUUUCUCCCUGAGAAUGUUUGCAAAUGGAGAAGUAUUUUACUGAGUCCAUAUCUCAUUACAAAAUCCAUCUCACCACAAGUUUCUAGUGAAAAUGAGGAAGGGAGAGAGAAGGAGAAAGAAAUGGAAUGAAUCUGCAGGCAGGGCUUGAAGGUUUGCACAGUGCCCGUCUCUCCACGGGUUUCUCAAAGCCCUCUCCGUCAUAUCCCCUGGGCACUUUAUUCCAGAUAGAUCAAGGAGCUAUGUCUCCAUGGGAAUAGCAUAGAGAGAACAAAAUGGGGAAUAAAGUUCAUGUAUAUAGUGCAUAACCGUUGAUUUUUAUGUGCUGGCUUUAUUCAUUAUCUCAGAGCUGCAGUGAGUAUGGAGUGUUUCAUGGGUACCUGAGUUCCCAAAUCCUUUUUUUCCUAUUCCUUCCCACCCAUCCCUAAAAUGUCAAGCACAAACAGCUGGAGUUACUAGCUGUACAGUUUAUUUGCAUAACCCUCCCUGGGCUGUGUUUGGUGGAUGGAACACAGGCUUUGGAGCCAAGGUGGUAAGGGUUCAAAUCCUGGCUCUGGCACCAACCUCAGUUCCUUCAUCUAUAAAAUGGGACUAAUGAUACUUCUACCAGCUUCUGGGAGGAUUCAAAAUGGUGCAUAGAAAGUCCCUGAGCCUGGCACAGAAUAGGCCCUUAACAAAUGGUAACUACUAUUCAUAUUAUUAUUGACCUUCUGUUCCCUUAAAUGGUUCUUGUCACAUUCUGAUUAACAGAGAAAGAAAGUAGGAAUAAGGAAUGGAAGGAAAAAGUAUACUCUUCGGCAGAUUUCAAUGUUAUCAGCAGAGCUUGUAUCUAGAACUAGAAGAAAAUGUCUUAUAACUAAAUAUCUGGAUUCUUCAUACCUAAGAAGCAUAAGGAAAUGGUCCGGUUUUCAAGGCAUUGCUGCCUCAGUGUAUGUUUUAAAAACAUCAUGUCAUGUCGCUUGUGAUUUCUCUAUUUUACCGUUAUAUCCAGGCUGUCAGACUGGCCAAUCUCAUCAGCCCUGCGAGCCAAAGACAGAGGAUACACACACACAUACAAAAGCCUCUGCCAGCAAAGCCUACUUGUUUUGUCAUGGCAACCCUUGUCACUUCCAGCUGGAGAGUGAGUGAUGAUGUCAUUAUCAAGAGAGGACUGGGGAGCAGGCUGAGAACCCAGUCUGAGCUAUAGGAUUACAGAGAAUUAUAUUUCAGAUUAAAUGAUCAUGUUACGGAGAGAAGCCAUCAGUACAAGGCACUUAGGCUUGACAUAAAUGAACACACACUGUCUUUGGCAAGGAAAGAAUGGAGUUUGAAAAUUUGACAUUAAGAGCAAAAUCUCUGUGUAUGUGAUUUUAAGAGAGAAUGCAUGAAGCUCCUUCAGUGUGCCAGCAUAUCUGUAUUAGUGUUGGGUGAAACUAUAAAUGACUCUCAUGGUCUGGUGGUUCUUUUAAGUCUCAGGGACCAAGUACAACAUGGUCUGGUCAGAGAUCUGCUGGCUAGAGAUUGGGACAAACUGGGGGCUGCUGAGUAGACAGAUUAUCCAUGAGAGGGGCCAAAAGCCAGGUCUCCAGCAGCCAAUGACAGAAUCUGUGUCCAGAGGCCCUCUGAAGACUAAAAGGGGGUGCCAGUAUUACAUGCCCCCAGUAGAGCAGGCAUAAAUGGGGACUGUUCCAGGCAAACCAGGAUGCGUGGUCACUACAUGUAAAUCCUGGAUGCAUGAUUCCUUCAUAUGAAAGCGUCUCUGAUGUCUUAGCUCUAGAAGUACAGUCAUACAGCAAAACAAGGCUGAGAGGGGGACUGGUCACCUACAUGCAGGUCAAGAGAAAAUACCAGACUCGGGGGCCGGAUGUCACCUCAAAUAAACUAGCCCUGGCAGAGGCUUCACACACAUAUGACUGUAGCAAGGGAGAGGUGUUUCCCCACUUGUCUGAGAGCAACCUGGGACACCACUAGACCAAACGAAUCACAACCUCCAGAAUAGAGACUGUCAAUUUGUUUUCUUAAUGUUUAUUUUAUUUUCGAGAGAGAGAAGGGGAGAGCAAGCAGGGGAGGGGCAGAGAGAGAAUGAGACAGAGGAUCCGAAGCAGGCUCUGCGCUAACAAGAGAGAGCCCAAUGCAGGGUUUGAACUCACAAACAGUGAGAUCAUGACCUGAACCAAAGUCAGAUGGCUCACCAGCUGAGCCACCCAAGCACUCCUGGAAAAGAGAGAAAAUGUGUGUCUUAUAGAGCCUUAGUGCUAAAAGGAGGCAGCGGUCAUCUAGGGCAAUUUUGUCUUUUCACAAACCAGUAUAGCAGAGUGGUAGCCUGAACUGUGCCUGAGGCAGAAUUCACAGCCUGCUCUUUAAUAGCAGUGAGCUCUUGGGCAAGGUGCUUUGGCCCCUGAGCCUCGUGGCUUUGUUGAGAGGACUGUGUAAUGUAUAUAAAGUGAGAUGUCAGUAGGUACAAGUUAUUGUCACUGUCUGACUUUCUGGAGGUGGGAGUCCUGGUGGUUUAUGGCACAGCUGUGACCAGAAUUCUUUAACUAGGUCAUAAUUGUCAUUACGUUUUCUGUGCUCAUGGCAAGUGGAGGGAACUGAGAUCACUCCAGACUUGUGUACGUGUAGUUUUUAAACUUCUAAUUUUGGAAUAGUUUCAAAUUUUAGAAAAAUUACAGGAGUAACACAAAGAGCUCUCACAUACACUUCAUGCAGAUUCCCCAGUUGUUAACUUUUUAUAUUUGCCUUAUCAUCGACUCUCUCUUCACACUCACACACGUGCACACACACACGCACACACACACGUUGUAUCUAUUAUAUGUAUAUUCUAUGUAUUUCCCCUCUAAGCUAGGAGUACCAGCAUGUGCCCCAUUACCCUUUACUACCUCAGUAUCUAGUUCCUAACAAGAGUACCCUCCUACCUAAUGAGAGUACAGUCUGGAAAUUAACAUUUAUAUGUUACUGCCAGUUAUUUCUCAGACACCUCCCCCAUUUAUUGUGCUUAUUGUUCCAAUAUGGUCUUCUGCAGACAAAGGAGACAAUCCAGGAGUAUAUGUUAUAUUUAGCUCUAAGAUUUUUUUUGGCUCCUUCCAUCGGGAAAUAUUUCUGUCUUUCCUUAUCUUUUAUGGCAUUAACGUUUUUGAAGUGUACAAGUUUGCUACUUUGUAAAAUGCUCUUUUGGGGAUUGUUGGAUGUUUUAUCACUGUUAAAGUUCAGGGUAUGCAUUUUUGCCAAAUACAAAAAUAUACCAUGUUUUCUCGUGGAUCGUCAUGUGGGUUUGUCUCAUGACUAGGAGGACUAGGAGGUUAGUGUUUAUCUUUUGAUUAAUAUAUUUGCCAGGUUCCUCUACUUUGAGUAAAUAAGUAUUUUAUACUUUGUAAAUUAAUAAAUAUUAGGUACUUUGUGGGAAAAGACUUUAAGACUAUAUUUCUGUGUAUUCAGCUAUACACAGAUGCUGUACCUCAUCAGUUUUUCCCUAUUUGUGGCAUUCAUUGAUGAUUAUUGCCCAAAUCAAUUAUAAUUGAAAAAUGGUGGCUUUAAAAUUCCAUCCUCUUUCUGUAUUUGUUACCCGAAAUUCAGCCAUAAGGUAGAAUUUAGAGGCAAACUCAAGGAAUGGGCAAAGGUCAGAGUCAUGGUGCCCGUCUGUUGGCUCCCUUUCACACUGACCUGUGCGACACUCAGAUUGAGCGAGACUUCAACAUGAGGAGGCAGCUGGGUCAGAACGUUCAGUCUCCUGAGGCAAAAGGUGCUUUAGCAGUGGCAUUAGGCUGCAGGAGCCAGCAGAAAACAGAGUAGAAAGAGUUUGUGGAAAGUUUCCUAACAGUGAAACUUGGAGACUGAAUGUGGACUGGAAAACCAAAAAAGCACACGUGAUGUUUUAAGCCUGGAUGAUGGUAGGAUAAAAGAUAGGGAUGUCAAGAGACUUAAAUUUGCAACAGGCUUAAAUGAAGCAACAGGCUUAAUUUUUGGUAGGUUGAGUGUGAAACGCUGGCAGGAGGUACAAGCUGUAUCAUCUGACAGGCAGGUGGGCCAACAGAACUACCUCAGGAGGGAGGUCAGGGCUGGAAGUGAAGAUCUGUGAGUCAUCUGCACUGGAACAGGAAACGGAUAUGGGUAAGACCUAUGUGAGCCAGUUUUGGGGAAAGAGAAGUUGGUCCAGGGCAAAAUCAUAGUGGGUGAAGUGGGGUGCUGGAAAGAGAAGGAAGACUCAAUGAAGAGGGCAGGGUCAGGGCUCAGGAGGACCAGGACACUGGCAGAGCCACAGGAGCUGGUGAGGAUACUGGGCACGGACUUGCUCAACAUCCAACCCAUCCAGAGUCUAGAAUGUCUUCCUGUAGAGUCUUGAAGGCUGAAAACUACCUUUGCCUGACUUCCUUGCAGCUAAAGGGUCUGGAUGUGAUUUAGGUUCUGAGAAGCAGGUGCAUUUGAGUGAGACUUGAAAGCUGUAGACAGCACUUCUGGCAGCUUCUGCUGUUCUGCUGGCAAUUGUCCUGGAAUUGUCGGGUUUUUUUCCCCUACAGUAUUCAGCAUCCAGGCGCUAGCUUCCUGAGGGAUGAGAGGCAAAGAUCUGGGAAUCCAUGUUUUGCUUAUGUACCUCUAGAAGAAAGUUCAGUUGCGGUGGCUCCUGCUGAAGUCAGUGGUUCCAGGGACAGCUUCCUGAUUUAUCUUCCUCAUGCGGGAGGGAUAGCAUCUCUCCCAGUGGAUCAUAUCUGCUGUGAUCUGGAAGUCACUCCUGAAGGCCCAGUCUGGAGCAUACUCUUCCAGUCCUUCCAAUAAUUUAAAAAGCACUUAAAUCCCUGUCAGCUGAAAAACACCGUGGUGCUUUCUCUUUUCUGCAACUGAACUCUGAUACAAAAUCCAAUGGAGAAAGGAUGUUCAAGAAUAAAGGGCUAAUCAGAAUCACUAUAUUGUACACCUGAAACGAAUUUAACACUGUACAUUAAUUAUACUGGAGUUAAAAAAAAUUAAAAAAAAAAGAAUGGGUUAAUCAAUAUUUCAAAAUCUGUCCAAAAGAUGAGGAUUUCAUUCAUCCAUCUAUCCAUCCAUCCAUUCGGUCCAUUAAAACAGUUAUCACUAAGUCCCUAAUGUGUACCCAGGGACGAUGCUGGACAUUUGGGAUACUACACAAAGACGAAUAAAACACUGCCUUUCCCUUCAAGCAUUCAGUCUAGAAUCAUGAACUUCAAUGGAAUAAACUGUGGCAAGCACACCGAUGGAGACAGAUUCAGGGAGCUAGCAUGAGGAAAGAGGAAGGGUGCUGAAUCCAUGAGACUCUGGAAAGAAUGUAGGCUUCAUGAAGGAAGGAACACAAGGGAAUGUUGAAGGAAGAGCCUUUUAUCUAGCUAAUAAAUUAUACCCACAUGUUUACCAUGGGUUGGGCACAGUGCUAAGAUCUUUUUCUAGAUCUUGUGUAACCUUACAAGCAUGCAUAUUAUCAGCAUUUUAUAAAUGGGGUCGCUGAAGUUAAGCUCUUGAUUCCAUGUUAUCUGAAGGGCAUUCCUUCAGGUCAUUCUCUGCAGAGGGCACAGCAAAGGCAAGGUUGAGAAACAUACUCUUCGUUCUGGCCAAUACCUGAAGAUAGGGCCCGUCUCCCAGCCUCUGUGGCAGGAUAGGAAUCCAACUUUAAUAAAAGCCAGUUAAUAAGCCCAGAGGAGUUUCACAUGGGCCAACAGCCCCCCCCCCCCCCCACCUUCCAGCUUUUUGUUAAAUGUUCACUUCCCUGACUCUUAGUGCCUGCUUAGCCACCUUCCUAUUUCCUCAUUCUCCUUUUUAUUCAUUUUUCUUUUCUGGUUUUAAAGCAAGGCAGAGUGCCGGCAUGCAGCAUUUCAUUUGCAUGUGUCUGGAGUCUUGGAAGCUUGGCUACCCUAUAUUGUCCUACAAACGGACCUUGAGAGCUCGUUUGGAGGUUCUAGAAGCUACGCAGAUACCCUUGACCAAAAAAUGGUCCUCCUUUAUUGAGCACACAGCUUUGGGAGGGACACACAUGGAGUGGUGAUGGAGGAAGGGGACACCUGCCUAGCCAGCCAGAUUAGCUCAAUCAACCCUGACUAUCAAUGGGGUAACAGAUAAUGCAGCCAGAUUGCCCUCACAAGCCCCCUUAUUUAUUCUCCCUUUUAAAAUGCACAGUCACGUGUGCACAAAAGUUGUGUGCACUUUACCCUGGAUUUUUCCCAUUACAACAGUAUGUUACUGAUUAAAAUCUGUCCUUACUAGUUUAACUAGUGUCUGGCUUUAUCUUUGUUUUUCGUUUUGAAGUUUAUUUAUUUGAGAGAGAGAGAGAGAGAGAGAGAGAGAGA